GCAAGGUUGCUCCUUCGUGCAGAAGCUGAGCUUCUCUGGUCGCUGACCCAACUCCUCUUUGCAACCCGGGUGCUCCGCCACUGCCCCAACAUGUGCUCCUGCGCCACCUAUUCUAUCUCAAUGGAUCUACUGCUCCUGGUCAUCAGCCUGGGCAGGUCGCUUACUCUCUCACGGACGCAGCGCUGCGGCCGCGGAUGCAUGCUGAUUAAUUGCGUUUUUCCUGUCGAGUUGUUGCCACUUCCACCCAAUGUUUAGAGCUGCAAAAUUAUUCUGUUUAGGCAUCGCUUCAGUCUUUGCUCGCCGUGGACUGUCAUUGUCUUGUGUUUAGGCGUAAAGUUCAGUCGAAUCUUAUGGCUGAUGUAUGUAGUUGUGGUAGCGUAGUUUCUUGGAUGGAUGGCAGCCUCGCGUUAUGCCAGAUUCGACCAAUGUCAGGAUCCAGGAGGCCAUGGACCAGGACCGUGUCCUCACACUCCAAUUCGAUGAAGCUGUGGAGCGCAUGCGGUGGUGGUCGCGCAGUCGGCUUACGUCAUGUGCAUCUGAAGAGAACACCGGGGGUGCAUACUGCGCCUACAUGGAUCCAUCACUUCUGAGUCGAGGUUCUCUGUUCCCGUCCUUGUUGCUCCAGAAUUCAGUAGCCUGCUGUUCAGUCUGUGUGUUCUAGAUGUUUUUCCAACAUCGAUCGAGACAUUACAUGUUGUGCUGACACCACAAGCACCUAAGUUGGGCAUUGCUAAUGCUUCCAUCUGGAGCCGAACUGUGUACUUUUUCUUUGAGAUGACCUGAAGUUCUUACUGAUUUAACCAAUAUGUAGUCAAAGGGACUUAUGAGCACACUUGAAAUCUCAACAUGUUCUGGCAUGAGGACAGUUCCAUUGAUGUGUGCAGUUACACAUUAACCUGAUGAUCUUCUAUGGCUUUCGAGGGAUGUCCAAAAAUUCUUCCUGAAGAGUGUGCAAGAAUUCUGACAAAGCUGGUGACUGUAUUUAGCAUGGGAAGUACCACUUCAGUCACCGAGUUGAACUCCAAGUUAAAACCGUGGCUGGUGAUAGCUACCAUUUGUAAUUUAAUGUUUUGCUGUUGGCUCUAAUACAAAAGCGGGCGUGGAUUGCAAGAAUGGUUCCCCUUGUGUGUAUUAGACUAUUAUUUAGUGAUUCUGAUUUAGUAUAAAUAAACAUAUAAUUUAAUUGGUCACUUUUCAAUUCUUUUGUGCUAGAUUAAACAAAAAGUUGAAGCUCGACAGGUUUGUGUCACUUUUUAGGAUGACGUCUGGUACGCAGCAAGCCGAGCCAACUAUGGACCGUGGACGUGAAGGAAGAAGUCACCGCCGGUCGGUAGUAGCCACGUUGGCUACCCACACCGAUUGUAGCCAUGUAGGAGGUGCCGGUCGGUAGUUGCCACGGGACUUAAGGGCAUCAAGUGUGACCAUGAAGGCACUGGCCGUCCUAGAAGAUACAUGCGGCACCAGAGUCAAAUAACAAAGUUCAA
rnacentral:lncRNA from 1 species